rnacentral:lncRNA from 1 species
UGUCGGUCUUCCACCACCAAAUGACCUUUGUUGACCUCGGCCACCACGAGCCCCACCUCGACCUCUACCUCUACCUCUAACAGCAGUACGCCUACUCUUAAUCAUAUCAUCAAGUGACAUAUCUAAAGAUGCCAUUGCAAAGAACACAAAGUACACAACCUAUUGUUACAGAUCUGAGUCGUUACGAUAUAUGAGAGACGAACUUUGGAUGAUGGAUGCUGGUAGAUGAAGGAUUAUACGAUGAGGAGCAAAGAGAUGCCUGUGAUUUAU